rnacentral:tRNA from 1 species
CCCGCCUUAACUCAGUGGCUAGAGUGCGCGGCUGUAGUAUGGAUUAUGUGCGAUAUGCACACAUUAACGCGCAGGCACCGCGAAGUCCCCGGUUCGAGUCUGGGAGGCGGGA